UUUUAGGGUUUGCUAUAAAAUUUUGGGAUCUUUGGUUAAAUCCACGCAGGGGGUGGGGGCGGCUGGGCUCAGCCCCUCCCCACCAUCCUCUUCCUCUCCUCUGCCACCCAGGUGGCCCAGUACAUCAAAUUCGAGAUGCCCACCCUCAGGAGCUUCAUCCAGAAGCUGGAGGAGGAGGAGGACCGGGAGGUGAAGAAGCUGAAGCACAAAUACUCCACCCUGCGGCUGAUGAUCGAGCAGAGGCUGGAGGAGAUUUCCGAGGGCCCCACGGCCAUGUGAGCGCCCCUGGGACGUGCUGCACCAAACCCCCACCCCAAAACCGCUCCCGGUGUCCCCCUGGCUGCCCCCAGCCCCCAGCCCAGCCCCCUCCCCAGGAAUCCUCGGGGGCUCUUCCCAGCAAGGCUCUGGCUGGCAGCAGAAACCUCAAAUCCCUGGAAAACACAGGGAAAAAAAUACAAAAAAUGAGAAAAAAGAGGAAAUCUGUGAGCAGCUGCCGGAAUUGCGGAGCUGGAAUUUUGGGGGGCUCGGGUUGGGGAUGCCCGAGGUGGCUCCCAGGGAAGGUUCUGCUGCUCGGCAGCAAAACAGCACAAAAAAAUCCUCUUUUUUUUAUAGAGAAAAGCACAUUCCUGCCCCGUCACCGCAAUAAUUCCCCGGUGUCGGGAGGAUUUUAUAAAUCCAAAGGGUCGGUGAGGUUUUGGGGGGUUAACCCUGACCUGGGGGCUCCUGGAGGCAUUUCCAGCCCAGCAGAAAAUCCCAUUUCCCCAGCCCCGCUGUCAUUUGCACUAAUAUUUAGGGAUUUUGAAGCAAACCACGAUGUCAAACCUCUCUGGGAGCUGAAAAUGCCAAACAGCCCUCGCCGAGAGGGGCAGAGGCAGAAAUAAAGAGGAUUUUGUUUUCCAAAUCCAUUCACCAGGAAAUUAUCCUGGUGAGAGCAGGAAAAAUCCUCUUUCUCCCAGGCUAAACCAGCAAUACCCAUUUUAUACCUCGAUGUGAACUAAACCUCCGACUUCCUCCCCCUUCCCCUUGAGUUUUUGCAAUGCAUCUUUGUAAAAAGAAAAUUUUUUUAAUUAUUAAUUUUAAUUUUAAUGGUACCUUUUCCACCUUUGGCUCACGUUGGGGGAAAGUGUUGUACAGCGAGAGGAGCUUUUGGUGUGUUUGAAGGAUGAUUGUGGCACUGCUGCGUGGAUUAACAAGGAAAUAAAAUAAAAUAAAAUAAAAUAAAAUAUGUAGCAACUU